rnacentral:rRNA from 1 species
UACGUAGGGGGCGAGCGUUGUCCGGAAUUAUUGGGCGUAAAGCGCACGCAGGCGGUUCGCCAAGUUCGCAGUGACAAUCACCGGCUUAACCGGGGAACGAUUGCGAAAACUGGUGGACUGGAGAGCGAGAGAGGGACAUGGAACUCCGGGAGGAGCAGUGACAUGCGUAGAGAUCCGGAAGAACACCAAGGCGAAGGCAGUGUCCUGGCUCGUGUCUGACGCUGAGGUGCGAAAGCCAGGGGAGCGAACGGG